rnacentral:lncRNA from 1 species
GUUUUGAACCUUUGCAUUUAAACUUCAGGCCUCAUACCUGGCCCUACAGUCCCGCAGCUAAAUAUGGAAAACAAUGCCAGAAGCCCUCCCAACCUCGGGCUCUCUGGCCUUCCUUAAAUAACCCAGGAAACCCAGGCGCACGGGCAGAGUCAGAUGGCCACUGUUCCUGAGCCUUGUUUGUGGAGCAAAUGGAAAAGACUCAUUUCAUGUUUUAUGACAUUUCAGAAUCGAUUUACAACUGCCUACUCCUUCUGAGUCUGGAUUUUCCUUUGAAAUAAAAAACACUGUAAUAAAAAAUAAUAGGAACAUUGAAUUGGAAAAAUGGUAAUGGUACAAAAAUGGUAUGAAAAUAAAAUAAAAUCAUACCAUUGUUUUUCUUUAAGAUUCAUUCAAUAUUCACUUAAAAAAAAAAUUAGAAUGCAGGCAAGGUUCUAGGCCCUUGACCACAGCAGUAAACUGAGCAAGCAUCCUUGUUCUCAGGGAGCUGCUUUUCUAGUUGGGAAAAGACAAAGAAACAAAUAUAUCCAGUGUCGUGUGGUGAGAGAUGCAAUGCAGAAGAAUAACGCAGGUUUGGGGGUCGAGAGGGCUUCCCAGGUGGCACUCGUAAAGAACCCGCCUGCCAGUGCAAGAGACUAAGACAGCAGGUUCGAUCCCUGGGUCAGGAAGACCCCCUGGAGGAGGGUACAGCAACCCACUCCAGUAUUCACGCCUGGAGAAUCCCGUGGACAGAAGAGCCUGGUGGGCUACAGUCCACGGGGUCACAAAGAGGCACGACUGAAGCGGCUUAGCACAUAUGCAUGCAUGGGGGUAGAAAGCGGGGCAGGGUGUGGGGCAAGGUUCCUGCUUUUGGGUGGACCAGGUAAGACAUCUGAGCAGAGGAGUGCGGGAGUGAGGCGGGGCGGAGCCUGGGGUGGGGACAGGGCAGCAGGAGCAGAGAGAGCAGGGGCGGAGACGCAGGAGAUGGGUCAGAAGGCUGGCAGAGAAUGCCACGUCACACGGGCCCGCGUCGAUGUGGGGUCAGAUUCUGCUCAGAGCCCGGAGGCCACUGCAGGGUUUGGGGCGGAGCCGCCACCUGAUCACUCGGAAUCUGUAGGCGCAAACGGGCAGAGGCUGCGGGUGGGAGCAGAGGGGGUUCAUGAUGGGGGUGCAGCGAAGACCGCUGGCUGCAGGGGUGGCAGGGAGGCGGCGGGGGCUGUGCCCCGUCUUGCUUCUCUUGGUUGUCAACUGAAGAGCCGGCUGAGAGAUUUAAGAUUCUCCCACAAAGAUGACAAGCGGCAAGUCCAAGUUCCUGAGCCCCACCUCAGUCCAGGCGUGUCUUCGCUCAGUCCUGCUCGCCACUAG